rnacentral:rRNA from 1 species
UUAAGCGACUAAGCGUACACGGUGGAUGCCCUGGCAGUCAGAGGCGAUGAAGGACGUGCUAAUCUGCGAUAAGCGUCGGUAAGGUGAUAUGAACCGUUAUAACCGGCGAUUUCCGAAUGGGGAAACCCAGUGUGUUUCGACACACUAUCAUUAACUGAAUCCAUAGGUUAAUGAGGCGAACCGGGGGAACUGAAACAUCUAAGUACCCCGAGGAAAAGAAAUCAACCGAGAUUCCCCCAGUAGCGGCGAGCGAACGGGGAGCAGCCCAGAGCCUGAAUCAGUGUGUGUGUUAGUGGAAGCGUCUGGAAAGGCGCGCGAUACAGGGUGACAGCCCCGUACACAAAAAUGCACAUAUUGUGAGCUCGAUGAGUAGGGCGGGACACGUGGUAUCCUGUCUGAAUAUGGGGGGACCAUCCUCCAAGGCUAAAUACUCCUGACUGACCGAUAGUGAACCAGUACCGUGAGGGAAAGGCGAAAAGAACCCCGGCGAGGGGAGUGAAAAAGAACCUGAAACCGUGUACGUACAAGCAGUGGGAGCACGCUUAGGCGUGUGACUGCGUACCUUUUGUAUAAUGGGUCAGCGACUUAUAUUCUGUAGCAAGGUUAACCGAAUAGGGGAGCCGAAGGGAAACCGAGUCUUAACUGGGCGUUAAGUUGCAGGGUAUAGACCCGAAACCCGGUGAUCUAGCCAUGGGCAGGUUGAAGGUUGGGUAACACUAACUGGAGGACCGAACCGACUAAUGUUGAAAAAUUAGCGGAUGACUUGUGGCUGGGGGUGAAAGGCCAAUCAAACCGGGAGAUAGCUGGUUCUCCCCGAAAGCUAUUUAGGUAGCGCCUCGUGAAUUCAUCUCCGGGGGUAGAGCACUGUUUCGGCAAGGGGGUCAUCCCGACUUACCAACCCGAUGCAAACUGCGAAUACCGGAGAAUGUUAUCACGGGAGACACACGGCGGGUGCUAACGUCCGUCGUGAAGAGGGAAACAACCCAGACCGCCAGCUAAGGUCCCAAAGUCAUGGUUAAGUGGGAAACGAUGUGGGAAGGCCCAGACAGCCAGGAUGUUGGCUUAGAAGCAGCCAUCAUUUAAAGAAAGCGUAAUAGCUCACUGGUCGAGUCGGCCUGCGCGGAAGAUGUAACGGGGCUAAACCAUGCACCGAAGCUGCGGCAGCGACGCUUAUGCGUUGUUGGGUAGGGGAGCGUUCUGUAAGCCUGCGAAGGUGUGCUGUGAGGCAUGCUGGAGGUAUCAGAAGUGCGAAUGCUGACAUAAGUAACGAUAAAGCGGGUGAAAAGCCCGCUCGCCGGAAGACCAAGGGUUCCUGUCCAACGUUAAUCGGGGCAGGGUGAGUCGACCCCUAAGGCGAGGCCGAAAGGCGUAGUCGAUGGGAAACAGGUUAAUAUUCCUGUACUUGGUGUUACUGCGAAGGGGGGACGGAGAAGGCUAUGUUGGCCGGGCGACGGUUGUCCCGGUUUAAGCGUGUAGGCUGGUUUUCCAGGCAAAUCCGGAAAAUCAAGGCUGAGGCGUGAUGACGAGGCACUACGGUGCUGAAGCAACAAAUGCCCUGCUUCCAGGAAAAGCCUCUAAGCAUCAGGUAACAUCAAAUCGUACCCCAAACCGACACAGGUGGUCAGGUAGAGAAUACCAAGGCGCUUGAGAGAACUCGGGUGAAGGAACUAGGCAAAAUGGUGCCGUAACUUCGGGAGAAGGCACGCUGAUAUGUAGGUGAAGUCCCUCGCGGAUGGAGCUGAAAUCAGUCGAAGAUACCAGCUGGCUGCAACUGUUUAUUAAAAACACAGCACUGUGCAAACACGAAAGUGGACGUAUACGGUGUGACGCCUGCCCGGUGCCGGAAGGUUAAUUGAUGGGGUCAGCGCAAGCGAAGCUCUUGAUCGAAGCCCCGGUAAACGGCGGCCGUAACUAUAACGGUCCUAAGGUAGCGAAAUUCCUUGUCGGGUAAGUUCCGACCUGCACGAAUGGCGUAAUGAUGGCCAGGCUGUCUCCACCCGAGACUCAGUGAAAUUGAACUCGCUGUGAAGAUGCAGUGUACCCGCGGCAAGACGGAAAGACCCCGUGAACCUUUACUAUAGCUUGACACUGAACAUUGAGCCUUGAUGUGUAGGAUAGGUGGGAGGCUUGGAAGUGUGGACGCCAGUCUGCAUGGAGCCGACCUUGAAAUACCACCCUUUAAUGUUUGAUGUUCUAACGUUGACCCGUGAUCCGGGUUGCGGACAGUGUCUGGUGGGUAGUUUGACUGGGGCGGUCUCCUCCUAAAGAGUAACGGAGGAGCACGAAGGUUGGCUAAUCCUGGUCGGACAUCAGGAGGUUAGUGCAAUGGCAUAAGCCAGCUUGACUGCGAGCGUGACGGCGCGAGCAGGUGCGAAAGCAGGUCAUAGUGAUCCGGUGGUUCUGAAUGGAAGGGCCAUCGCUCAACGGAUAAAAGGUACUCCGGGGAUAACAGGCUGAUACCGCCCAAGAGUUCAUAUCGACGGCGGUGUUUGGCACCUCGAUGUCGGCUCAUCACAUCCUGGGGCUGAAGUAGGUCCCAAGGGUAUGGCUGUUCGCCAUUUAAAGUGGUACGCGAGCUGGGUUUAGAACGUCGUGAGACAGUUCGGUCCCUAUCUGCCGUGGGCGCUGGAGAACUGAGGGGGGCUGCUCCUAGUACGAGAGGACCGGAGUGGACGCAUCACUGGUGUUCGGGUUGUCAUGCCAAUGGCACUGCCCGGUAGCUAAAUGCGGAAGAGAUAAGUGCUGAAAGCAUCUAAGCACGAAACUUGCCCCGAGAUGAGUUCUCCCUGACUCCUUGAGAGUCCUGAAGGAACGUUGAAGACGACGACGUUGAUAGGCCGGGUGUGUAAGCGCAGCGAUGCGUUGAGCUAACCGGUACUAAUGAACCGUGAGGCUUAACCUU